rnacentral:tRNA from 1 species
AAUUUUUGCCCAGACUUUAAACCAGGACCUGUGAUACGAAAAACCACCGUUGUUUUCAACUACAAAAAC